rnacentral:lncRNA from 1 species
CGCGCAGGCGCGGAGCGAGAGGAAGAUGGCGGCCCCCCUGGACUUGGAGCUGAAGAAGGCCUUCACGGAGCUGCAGGCCAAGGUGAUCGACACGCAGCAGAAGGUGAAGCUCGCCGACAUCCAGAUCGAGCAGCUGAGCAAGACCAAGAAGCACGCGCACCUCACUGACACCGAGAUCAUGACGCUGGUGGACGAGACCCGCAUGUACGAGGGCGUGGGCAGGAUGUUUAUUCUUCAGUCUAAAGGAGUCAUUCAUAAUCAGCUUUUAGAAAAGCAGAGAAUAGCAGAAGAGAAAAUUAAGGAAUUAGAGGUCUGGUUGUCUUGUUGCACAGGAGAAUUUUUCUUCUCCUUUGAAAAGGGAAAUACCCUGAACAGUGAGCAAAACAAGCCUUAAAUGUAAUGUAAUGAUGAAAAGGUUGAGAGUGUCGGAGUUAACGCCCUUGGAACAGAACCUUCUUAAUGGAGAAGUCCUCUGAUGCUGGACUGGUGCCAUACAAAUUUAAGCAGAAGAAGUCGUACCUGGAACGGAGCGUGAAGGAAGCAGAAGAUAACAUUAGGGAGAUGCUGAUGGCCCGGAGGGCACAGUAGAUGCGAUUUCCUGUUGGGCCAUGGAUGGACCUGUGCCGCCCUCUGGGUGAUGCUGGCAGCUCUGCUGUGAUGGCUGUUACCUGGCAGAUCUAAUAAACCCUGCUGCAAAGCCCAUGUCAGCUC